rnacentral:lncRNA from 1 species
UUAGAUCUCUCAAAAUCAAAAAGUUCUGAUCCUUAAUUCUUUAUUGUCUCAAGGCUUGUUGUUGCUGGGUCUUCCCUCAAAUCUUUAUCAUGAAUAUUUACAUGUAAGCUUUAAUUUUUUUAAUUUAAUUUACCGAAUUUAGGGUUUUCAAUUGUCAAUAUAGGAUUUCUUAUGUUGAUUCCAUUUUAUUUGGAGCAAUUUCUUGUAUGUUUGGUUCAUUUAUUUUUCUUACAUUUAGAAGUAAUAUAUCAAAGACCAUGAAAAUUCUCAUUUGUGCCUUAACAAUCCGAAAUUUUGUAUAUCAUUCACAUAAUAGGUUUUUUCAUCUUAAUUAUUUCUUUUUAGUUAGCAAAUACUGAGGUGGAUCUGAAAAUUGUAUCUUAUAAAUUUGGGUAUAUGGACAUCUAUUAGAAUUUAAUCUACGUUCAUGCUUUUGGUCUUUAAUUAAUUGUCUGUCCCUGCCUCAUCUUGCUUGAAACAACCUUUUAGUUGUUUCUUGCUGUUAAUGUUUACAGCUUGUAGUAGUCUGUAAUCAUCGGAAAGAUUUCUUUCCAUAUUUUUUUUAAUACCUUUUUUUUUUCCUUGCCUAAGUGCGAAAUUUUUGUGCUAUAUUUCAACAAAUUGGGUUAUGAUGUAGAUCCUUUUAAAGUCCCAUGAUUUCUUAAUGAUUUUAAGUCGUGAACUCAACGCUGUUUAACGUAUCUGGGACUCGAUGUACUCACUAAAUUAUUAUUAUUAUUAUGAUUAUUGAGGAUGAUGAUAAUCAUCGUCAUCAUCCAUAUAAAUUGCAAACUUGUUAUAUAAUUGCCUGAUGAUGCAAAAAGGGAAAAGCAAUAGAGAUUAAAAUUUAGACCUUUCAUUUUAGUAUUUCUUUAGGGAGGGUGAUAAGAGAAUCAUUCUGUCGGUUUCCAACUAGACAAUGCAUAUAGCUAAAGUUUUGCAUCAAUAUUGUGAUGUUGUGAAAGAGAGAAAUGAGUUGAUUGAUGUGUAGUGUCUACAAACUUGGCACUGCAACUGCUGUGCAGUUUCUAAGUUUGAGAAUAUGUACUGAUUUAAUUAGAACUUGCAGAUUCUUAACAGCCAGAAUUUUCUCUUGAGCUACAACAUAUAUGGGUUGCAUUGGCAUUUUAAAGGAGGGAAGACUUCAGUUGAGGUAGAUCUUUAUGAUGUCUCAUUAUUUGUGGACUUUCCUUUACUAAUUUCAGUUUUGUUGUUUUUGUUGGCUGUACUGUUGAUUCUGUUGUUUUGUCACUUCUCUUAUUGAGUUGAUUUUAUUUCUUAUAUACUAAUAUCAAUCCCUCUGUCUGGUUAGGGUAAUGGUUAUUGUUGCAUUUUUCCAACCAAUUGAUGCUUAAGUGCGAUCCAUAAGUGAAGAUUUAUCUUGCUGAAUUUAGUCUCAUGCUCGUGGUUUUCUUUUUGCUUUGUUUAAAUGAAGAUUUAAAUUAAUCUAAAUUUUUUUGUUCUUGGUAGUUUUUGGGUUUUAUUUGUUAAGCUAGAAAACUUGAAUUUGACUUAUUAAAUUGGUCAUUAGACACAAACAAGAUUAUCAAUAAGCCCAUAUUGCUUGAUUAUUUAGAUUGUGCCCAUACAAAAGGACUAAAUGCUGAAAGUUCUCAAAAGCCUCUCAAAAUUCGUGAUAGCCUCGUGUUUUGUUUAUAUGAUUAGCAUCAAUACAUAAUUCUUUUAGGUUAAAUUGAAUGCACUAGUACUAAAAAAAAAAGAAAAAAUUGUUGUAGAAGGCGAUAUUUAAUUGGUACAAAGGCAUGAAUAAGUUAUCAUAAUUGCUCCUUGCAUUUGUGUAGUUCGUUCAUAUUCUUAAAUUGAUGUCUAACAUAGGUACAAACUCCUGCAGAAGAUUAAUUGAGUAGAUGGAAUGUGAAGAAAAAUAAAAUGGCUUCCAUGCGAAUUACAAAAUAUAGUUAUAGAAUUUCUUUAUUGAUGUUUGAGUUGAUUUAUUGCAACAUUUGAUUUUCAUUUCGUAUUAGGUAUUGCUAUUUUUAUCCUUUUGCCAUAUACUUAUUAUAUCCUUAAUGACCUUGCAUUUAUGGAUUGCAUGUCACAGUUGAAUGGUUUGGAUGAAUGUAAGCGUGAUUUGAAGUUAAGUACACCUUAAUUUUUCUAAUUUACUUAUAUGGGAAAAGUUUGUUAAGAAAGCAUUAUUUUGUUUCUUUUUUAUUAACAGAAUAAAAUUCUUAUUUAUUUUUAAAUUCAUAAUGCAGGUGAUCAAGGAUAUUCUGCAAAAAUGUAUUGAAGAGUGAGAACAAAUUGAAGAUAGUAUUUAAUACUUUUUUAAAGGUCACUAGAAAGUAUAGAAGUAUGAUAUAUGAUUAUGGAUGUUUAAGUAUUUUUAUUUUAUCAACGAACAAUGUAUAAUUUCUUUUUCAUCAAUAGAAUGACUAAAAUGAUGUAUUGAAUUAAUGAAUUGAAUGAAGAAUAA